rnacentral:rRNA from 1 species
UACGUAGGGGGCAAGCGUUGUCCGGAAUCAUUGGGCGUAAAGCGCGUGUAGGCGGCUUGGUAAGUCCGCUCUGAAAGCCCGGGGCUCAACCCCGGGAGGCGGGUGGAUACUGUCAAGCUCGAGUCCGGAAGAGGCGAGUGGAAUUCCUGGUGUAGCGGUGAAAUGCGCAGAUAUCAGGAGGAACACCAAUGGCGAAGGCAGCUCGCUGGGACGUGACUGACGCUGAGACGCGAAAGCGUGGGGAGCAAACAGG